rnacentral:lncRNA from 1 species
AAUGCUAAAUCCAUCCAGAAUCAACUGAACCAAAGACAGAGAACUGUGGAGGUUUAAGGAUAUAAUUAUCGAGUUACUACCGCACCAAAUCAGUUUCGUGCAUUUAUGUCAGAACCUUAGGAUUGAACAGAAGAGUUUGUAACUGCUGAAUUUGAGGAAGCUCAAGUCGACGAAAGUUAACACUUUUGAAGAAUGUGAGGACAGAACUUCAAGGAUUAGCAUAACACUGUCUGAGAGGUUUAGUCAUGUCAGAUUCAGAUGGAAUCCAUUGGUUUCAAGUGGAGACUCUUUGGGGUUCAGUUCGACAGGUUUAUUGAAAACUGAGUUGGUCAGUACACACAAUAUUGAUUGGUAUUUUUAGCAAAGAAGGGUUGCUAUAUAUAUUUGAAGCCUCGACAAACAAGGAUGAUAGGGCUUGUCUGAAAUUCAAGUGGAUGUUUUGAAAGAAACAUCACAACAAGUUCUUAUGCUAUUUU